UACGUAGGGGGCUAGCGUUGUCCGGAUUUAUUGGGCGUAAAGAGCGUGUAGGCGGCCAGGUAGGUCUGGUGUGAAAACUCGAGGCUUAACCUCGAGAUGUCAUCGGAAACCAUUUGGCUAGAGUCCGGAAGAGGAGAGUGGAAUUCCUGGUGUAGCGGUGAAAUGCGCAGAUAUCAGGAAGAACACCAAUGGCGAAAGCAGCUCUCUGGGACGGUACUGACGCUGAGACGCGAAAAGCGUGGGGGAGCGAACAGG
rnacentral:rRNA from 1 species